ensembl:lncRNA
CCUUUUUUGACACACAUCUUUUUCUACUCACUCACAGCAUCUCUCAUACUCUCACACCACAGGCUAUCUCUGCCUUCCCCCAUACGUAAGAUGAGAUCCAGCUUCAUUUACUGGCUUUUCUCUAUCCUUCCUGCUGCUCUGGCAGUCAGAAACUUGUGCCACUAAUGAGUUGGUGUCUUUCACAAUGGUGGCCAGGACUUCCCUUCCUGUACUAUUUGAAAGUGAUUUGUUUACUAUUUUGGGCAUCUAUAACCUAACAUUAUUUUCCUUCUAGGAGUUCUGCUUAUAUCAAUUGGUCUACCAAUAAGUUUGUACAUACACAUAUGUUCUCCAACAUCACAGCAUUUCUUUACAUCACCAGCUCUGAACUGCACCAGUCACUGUACUAAUGUUUUCCUCAUUCUGGCUGUGACUCAGCAAAACUGUAACCAGUGCUUUUAAAUGUACAGAAAUCACUGGCACUUCAGUUUUGCUGACUGAUGAUGAAUUUCAGCAUUCAUUUAAGGAGAAGCACAAGUUUAUCUGUUCUGAGUUAGAAUCUGGGGGGAAAAAAGCCUGUCCCUACAAUAAUAGAAAACUGCUACUUAUAAAGACACCNNNNNNNNNNNNNNNNNNNNCUCCCGGCCGGGCAGAGGAGUCUGUGAAACUCCCCUCCUCCAUGCAGCUCCCGCAGCCCGGCCGCUGCCUCAGCCCCUCCCCGGGGCGGCCUGGCCCGGCUCUGGGCUGGGGCUUGCUUUGCUCUCCUUCCCCUCCCUACUCCGCCGCCCCCAGCCCCCGAGGCUGGGAAAAGGGGGGGAAGAGAGAUUAACCAUUCGGAUUUGUCUCUGGAAUGGAGCCAAAGAGAGCAGUCGGAUUACAGCCCCGGGAAGAAGGGAGGAAAAGGGAAUGGGGGAUGAAAAAAAAAAAAAAAAUGAAAGGGGGAAAAAAAAAAAAUCCGCUACUGCUUUCACGCAGGGAAAAGCGCUGGGCUGUCCUGCCCUCCCCGUGUGUCAGGUCACAGCCUCUCCGCCCGGCUGCCAGCCCCAUCCCCGCCUCGCCGAGCUGCCCACGGGCUCCUCUCCGACACCACAGGAAGGCUGGCCUCUCCAACUGAGAAGAUACUCUGAAGCAGAAAAACUGGUGGAAAAAAUUAUUAUUGAAAGGGCAGUCAGAGAGCAAGCACAUACACACAUCCUUCCUUUCGAGCAGACUUUUCUGAAAAUUGCCUCAGAUGUCUGCUGAGUUCUCAUGGAAGGAUUUUUCCUUUUUAUUAAAAAAAUAGAAAAUAAUCAAAACCUUUCUCUUCGUGGUUUGGAGCCAGCAACUCUCCUCAUUGGCA